GACGAACGCUGGCGGCGUGCUUAACACAUGCAAGUCGAACGGUAAGGCCCUUCGGGGUACACGAGUGGCGAACGGGUGAGUAACACGUGGGUGAUCUGCCCUGCACUUCGGGAUAAGCCUGGGAAACUGGGUCUAAUACCGGAUAGGACCACUGCCUGCAUGGGUGGUGGUGGAAAGCUUUUGCGGUGUGGGAUGGGCCCGCGGCCUAUCAGCUUGUUGGUGGGGUGAUGGCCUACCAAGGCGACGACGGGUAGCCGGCCUGAGAGGGUGACCGGCCACACUGGGACUGAGAUACGGCCCAGACUCCUACGGGAGGCAGCAGUGGGGAAUAUUGCACAAUGGGCGCAAGCCUGAUGCAGCGACGCCGCGUGAGGGAUGACGGCCUUCGGGUUGUAAACCUCUUUCAGUAGGGACGAAGCGCAAGUGACGGUACCUACAGAAGAAGGACCGGCCAACUACGUGCCAGCAGCCGCCGCGG
rnacentral:rRNA from 1 species